AUUGAACGCUGGCGGCAGGCCUAACACAUGCAAGUCGAGCGGAUGAAGGGAGCUUGCUCCUGGAUUCAGCGGCGGACGGGUGAGUAAUGCCUAGGAAUCUGCCUGGUAGUGGGGGAUAACGUCCGGAAACGGGCGCUAAUACCGCAUACGUCCUGAGGGAGAAAGUGGGGGAUCUUCGGACCUCACGCUAUCAGAUGAGCCUAGGUCGGAUUAGCUAGUUGGUGGGGUAAAGGCCUACCAAGGCGACGAUCCGUAACUGGUCUGAGAGGAUGAUCAGUCACACUGGAACUGAGACACGGUCCAGACUCCUACGGGAGGCAGCAGUGGGGAAUAUUGGACAAUGGGCGAAAGCCGGAUCCAGCCAUGCCGCGUGUGUGAAGAAGGUCUUCGGAUUGUAAAGCACUUUAAGUGGGGAGGAAGGGCAGUAAGUUAAUACCUUGCUGUUUUGACGUUACCAACAGAAUAAGCACCGGCUAACUUCGUG
rnacentral:rRNA from 1 species